CAGCCGCGUAAUUCCAGCUCCAAUAGCGUAUAUUAAAGUUGUUGCAGUUAAAAAGCUCGUAGUUGAAUUUCGGGAUCAAUUUGUCGGUCGUGCCUCGGUACGUACUGGUAUUAUUGGUUUCUACCUUCUGAAGAACCUUGAUGUCAUUAAUUUGGUGUCUUGGGGAAUCAGGACUGUUACUUUGAAAAAAUUAGAGUGUUUAAAGCAAGCAUACGCUUGAAUACAUUAGCAUGGAAUAAUGAAAUAGGACGUUUGAUUCUAUUUUGUUGGUUUCUAGGAUCGACGUAAUGAUUAAUAGGGAUAGUUGGGGGCAUUAGUAUUCAAUUGUCAGAGGUGAAAUUCUUGGAUUUAUUGAAGACUAACUACUGCGAAAGCAUUUGCCAAGGAUGUUUUCAUUAAUCAAGAACGAAAGUUAGGGGAUCGAAGACGAUCAGAUACCGUCGUAGUCUUAACCAUAAACUAUGCCGACUAGGGAUCGGAUGAUGUUAAUUUUUUAAUGACUCAUUCGGCGCCUUACG
rnacentral:misc_RNA from 1 species